UACGUAGGGGGCAAGCGUUGUCCGGAAUCAUUGGGCGUAAAGGGUGCGUAGGUGGCGAGGUAAGUCGGGUGUGAAAUCCUGGGGCUCAACCCCAGAACUGCAUUCGAUACUGCUUUGCUCGAGUACUGGAGAGGAGAUUGGAAUUUAUGGUGUAGCAGUGAAAUGCGUAGAUAUCAUAAGGAAGACCAGUGGCGAAGGCGGAUCUCUGGACAGUUACUGACACUGAGGCACGAAGGCCAGGGGAGCAAACGGG
rnacentral:rRNA from 1 species